GUACACGUGGAUCAUCUACCUCUUAUUGGGGAGUACCUGGGAAACCGGGGCUAAUUACCUGCAUAAGCCUGAAAAGGGAAAGCAGUAAUGCGCUGAGAGAGGAGUCCGCGGCCGAUUAGCUAGUUGGUAGCGGUAAUGGCCUACCAAGGGCAAUGAUCGGUAGCCGGCCUGAGAGGGCUACACGGCCACACUAGGGCAUCUGAAACACGGGCCAGACUCCUACUGGGAGGCAGCAGUCGGGGAAUCUUGCACAAUUGGAGGAAUACUCUGAUGCAGCGACAGCCGCGUGAGCGAUGAAUGCCCUU
rnacentral:rRNA from 1 species